UACGUAGGGUGCAAGCGUUAAUCGGAAUUACUGGGCGUAAAGCGUGCGCAGGUGGUGAUGUAAGACAGAUGUGAAAUCCCCGGGCUCAACCUGGGAACUGCAUUUGUGACUGCAAGGCUGGAGUGCAGCAGAGGGGGAUGGAAUUCCGCGUGUAGCAGUGAAAUGCGUAGAUAUGCGGAGGAACACCGAUGGCGAAGGCAAUCCCCUGGGCCUGCACUGACGCUCAUGCACGAAAGCGUGGGGAGCAAACAGG
rnacentral:rRNA from 1 species